AUGGCUCGUCGUGCUGCGGAGGCACUGCUCGUCCUCGGGUUCCUCUUCCUACCCCUCACGGCGUCGAGCUUCCUCGUCCCAGAGAGCCCGCGCCGGUCCGGCGAGACUGGCGACGAGGUGCUCGGCAUCGCACUCGGCGCAACCCACUCGUGCAUUGCCGCCGUACACCGGGACGGCUCCAUAAAGAUCGUCCCCGACGACCAGGGCAACCGCGUCACCCCCGGGUGGGUCGCCUUCACCGACGACGGCGAGAGGCUCGUCGGCGAGGCCGCCAGGAACCAGUACGCCGCCAACCCGAACCGCACCAUCUAUGGCGCCAAGCGACUCCUGGGACGGCGGUUCAGCGACGCCGACCUGCAGCGGGACGUGGAGACCUUGCCGUACGCCGUCGUCGACCGGGAAGGGAUGCCGUACGUCAGGGUGGACGACGUGCGGACGCUCAGACCCGAGGAGAUCACGGCCGCGGUGUUCGCAGACAUGAUGGACAGGGCGGCGGCCCACCUGGGCAGGAAGGUCACACGGGCGGUGCUCACCGUCCCCGCCCACUACACCGACGCGCAGCUGUAUGCUACCAAGGAGGCCGGCAUUCUCGCCGGCCUCGACGCCCUCCGCUUGGGGCGACGCGAGGAACAUGCUGGUGUUCGACCUCGGCGGCAGCACGCUCGACGUCGCCGUGCUCACCUCGAUGAAGGCGUGUUCGAGACCAUGGCGAGCCGCAGCGACGCCCACCUCGGCGGCGACGACUUCGACCGCCGACUCGCGGACUACUUCGUCGAGCUGGUCCAGCGCAAGCACGGCUGGGACGUCACCGGCGACGGCAGCGCGAUGCAGAGGCUGCUGCGGGAGUGCGAGCGCGCCAAACGGGCGCUGAGCGAUCAGCACCAUGUGCUCGUGGAGCUCAAGGCGCUGUUGGACGGCGUGGACCUGUCGGAAACGCUCACGAGGGAGCUGUUCGAGGAGCUCAACCAAGACCUCUUCUUGAAGACGAUGGCCCCGUUGAAGAAGGCCCUGGCGGACGCCGAGCUGGAGAAGCGAGACAUCCACGAUGUCGUCCUCGUGGGCGGCAGCAGCAGGAUCCCCAUGGUGCAGCAGCUUGUCAAGGACUACUUCGACGGCAAGGAGCCCGUCAACGUCGACGGGAUCAACCCUGACGAGGCCGUCGCCUACGGGGCCGCCGUUCAGGGGAGCUAUCUGGCUGGACACCAUGACGACGACGACAAGGUGUUUUGGGGGAUAGUUGACGUGCCGCAGCCCGCUAUUGGCAUCGAAGCCGCCGACGGGGCAAUGGUGAAGCUGAUCCGGAGGGAUGCCGGCUACCCGGCGAAGGGGAUGGAUGUCAUCACCACUUAUUGGAACAAGCGGACCACCGUUGCAAUCAAGGUGUAUGAGGGCGACAGAAGCGAGGUCAAGGAUAACAGACUCCUCUGCCAGCUUGACCUCUCUGAAAUCCCACCUGCAAGUAUAUGGAACUGGGGAAGGCGGGAUAUCGAGGUGACCAUCCAGGUGGACGAGGCGGGCACGAUCCAUGCCGGGGCGACGGACAAGGCCUCCGGCAAGACGGCCAAGACCAGCUAUGGUUAUCAUCAUCGCCGGAUGAGUCAGGAAGAGUUCGACGCUAUGAUGCGUGAAAUGGACGAGUUCGCCAGGGACGGCAAAGCUAGGCUGGAGGCCUACGUGCACAGCAUCAAGGAGACCCUUGUCGCCGCUGGUGGCAUGGAGCUGGAGGAGAAGAAGAGGGGGGAGGUGGAGGGUGAGGUGAUGGCGGUGAGCAAGUGGCUCGACGGAAACACAUACACCGCCGAGGAGGGCGACUAUGAGAAGAAGCUCAGUGAGUUGCAGGGCGUGUGCGACCCCGUCAUCUCGGCCAUGCAAACAAGGUUGGGAGAUGACCUCGAUGACUACGAGGAUGAGCUUUAG
rnacentral:rRNA from 1 species